UUUAAAAGUUAAAAAAUGCUUGUAAAGACUUUAUAAGAGUUUUAAAAGGAUUUACAAAGGUUUAAAAUCCCUUGUAAAUCAUUCUUUGACACUUACUUAUGCUUUAAAAACGAUUGUAAAUCAUUUUAACCCCUUUUAAAAUCCCUUGUAAAUCAUUCAAUAACACUUACUUAUGCUUUAAAACGAUUGUAAACCAUACAAACACUUUUAAAAUCCCUUGUAAAUCAUUCUAUGCCACUAACUUAUGCUUUAAAAACGAUUGUAAAUCAUGUUUUACCCUUUUAUAAGCUUUUAAAAUCCCUUGUAAAUCAUUCAAUGCUUCUUAUUUAUGCUUAAAAACGAUUGAAAAUCUUGUAAAACUAUUGUAAAAAGCUUUAAAAUGAUUUACAAAGAUUUAAAAAGGUGUUUUAAAGUAUUUACCUAUGUUUUUAAAGACUUUAUAAAGAUUUUAAGAGGUUUUAAAAUGAUUUACAAUGGUUUUUAGCAACUACCAAAGCUUUUAGAAAACUUUACAAGGUUUUUUAAAGAGUUUUUAAAAAAUUUACAAGGUUUUUUAAAAGCAUUUUUUGGCUGGGAAAAAAAUUUUACGAGAAAAAUUUUUGGCGGAAAAGUUUUUUUUUGGCGGGAAAAAAAGUUUGCCGGAAUUUUUUUUUUUGGCGGGAAAUUGAAAGUUUCCAAGUACUUGUUAUUAUUAAAUGAGGGUAAUUUGGUCAUUCUGUUCAAGAAAAAAGAUAUUUUUAAAAAUA
rnacentral:sRNA from 1 species